UUGAAACAGCAAUGAUUUCAUUUUACUGUUCAGAGAUAGUGGUUUUAGAGGAGGUAUGAAGAAACUUCUCGUGAUUGUUUUAUUAUUGGCAAGCAAUAAUGUCUGAUGUUAUAAACAGUAAAGCAGUGACGUCAAAGCCGAACAAAAUAUCAGUUACGAAGAAGAAGCCCACCAAAAUACAAGUGAAUAUCCCCGUAAACCAAUUAAACAAAAUAUGGAAAGAUAUAAAGAAAUUUUUUGGCAAAACCUUUGGAUGAACUUAUUUGAACUUCAAACAUUAAUCAUAUAAAUAGCACGUUUUUAUUUAUUAAUAAAGAAUGUUUUUUUAUUAA